GACGGAGGGCGCGAGCGUUGUUCGGAAUCACUGGGCGUAAAGCGCGCGCAGGCGGGUUUUAAGUCUGAAGUGAAAUACCGGGGCUCAACUCCGGUGCUGCUUCGGAUACUGGGAACCUGGGGACCGGUAGAGGCCGGUGGAAUUGCGUGGUGUAGCGGUGGAAUGCGUAGAGAUCGUUUGGAACGCCAAUGGUGAAAACAGGUAACUGGGAGUGUGCCGACGCUGAGACACGAAAGCCAGGGGAGCGAACGGG
rnacentral:rRNA from 1 species